rnacentral:rRNA from 1 species
AGUCAGACUGCGGGAGCUAAGUUCCGUGGUCAAAAGGGAAAGAGCCCAGAUCGUCAAUUAAGGUCCCAAAGAUAUAGUUAAGUGGAAAACGAUGUGAUUUUGCGUAAACAACCAGGAUGUUGGCUUAGAAGCAGCCAUACAUUUAAAGAGUGCGUAAUAGCUCACUGGUCGAGUGAAGUUGCGCGGAAAAUUACCGGGGCUAAACUAUACACCGAAAUUGCGGAUUCAUGAGUAAUCAUGAGUGGUAGAGGAGCAUUCUAUAGUAGGACGAAGCAUGAUCGAAAGGACAUGUGGACGAGAUAGAAGAGAGAAUGCCGGAAUAAGUAGCGAGAGCAAAGUGAGAAUCUUUGCCGUCGAAAGUCUAAGGUUUCCUAGGGAAGGUUCGUCCGCCUAGGGUAAGUCGGGACCUAAGGUGAGGCCGAAAGGCGUAGCCGAUGGAUAGCAGGUUGAAAUUCCUGCACUACAGGUAUACUUAAAAAGCGUAAGGGACGCAGGAGAGGAAGAUAAGCGAGGAAGAGGAAAAACUCGUAUCGAAAGAUAUAGUGAAAUUUAAAGUAACGAAUUAUCAAGAAUCACACUGACAAGAAAAGCUUACGAGUCUUGUAUAUCAGUACCCGUACCGCAAACCGACACAGGUAGAUGAGGAGAGGAUCCUAAGACGAGCGGGAGAAGCAUUGUUAAGGAACUCGGCAAAUUGACCCCGUAACUUCGGGAGAAGGGGUGCCUAUGUAAAAGUAGGCCGCAGAGAAGAGGCCCAAGCAACUGUUUAACAAAAACACAGGUUUCUGCUAAAUCGAAAGAUGAAGUAUAGGAGCUGACGCCUGCCCAGUGCUGGAAGGUCAAGGGGAAAGGUUAUCCUUCGGGAGAAGCUUUGAACCAAAGCCCCAGUGAACGGCGGCCGUAACUAUAACGGUCCUAAGGUAGCGAAAUUCCUUGUCAGGUAAGUUCUGACCCGCACGAAAGGCGUAAUGAUUUGGGCGCUGUCUCAACAAUGUACCCGGCGAAAUUGUAGUACUAGUGAAGAUGCUAGUUACCUGCGACAAGACAGAAAGACCCCAUGGAGCUUUACUGCAGCUUGAUACUGGGUUUCGGUAAUUUAUGUACAGGAUAGGUGGGAGACUAUGAAAGUUAGGCGUCAGCUUAACUGGAGUCACUGUUGGGAUACCACCCUUAAGUUACUGAAAUUCUAACCAUGAAUCAUAAACUGGUUCGGGGACAAUGUCAGGCGGGCAGUUUGACUGGGGCGGUCGCCUCCUAAAGAGUAACGGAGGCGCCCAAAGGUUUCCUCAGCGCGGACAGAAAUCGCGCGAAAGAGUGUAAAGGCAGAAGGAAGCUUAACUGAAAGACAGACAUGUCGACCAGAUACGAAAGUAGGGCUUAGUGAUCCGGCGGUAGUGAAUGGAAAUGCCGUCGCUCAACGGACAAAAGUUACCCUGGGGAUAACAGGCUUAUCUCUCCCAAGAGUUCACAUCGACGGGGAGGUUUGGCACCUCGAUGUCGGCUCAUCGCAUCCUGGAGCGGAAGUACGUUCCAAGGGUUGGGCUGUUCGCCCAUUAAAGCGGUACGCGAGCUGGGUUCAGAACGUCGUGAGACAGUUCGGUCCUUAUCUGUCGCAGGCGUAGGAUAUUUGAAAGGAGCUGUCCUUAGUACGAGAGGACCAGGAUGGACAUACCGAUGGUGUAUCAGUUGUCACACCAGUGGCACGGCUGAGUAGCUAAGUAUGGACGGGAUAAACGCUGAAAGCAUCUAAGUGUGAAGCCCACCUUAAGAUAAGAUAUCCCAUACUGUAAAGUAGU